AUUGAACGCUGGCGGCAGGCCUAACACAUGCAAGUCGAACGAGUGGCGGACGGGUGAGUAAUGUAUGGGAAACUGCCCGAUGGAGGGGGAUAACUACUGGAAACGGUAGCUAAUACCGCAUACCAUCGGAUGUGCCCAGAUGGGAUUGGCUAGUAGGUGGGGUAAAGGCUCACCUAGGCGACGAUCCCUAGCUGGUCUGAGAGGAUGACGAGCCAAACUGGAACUGAGACACGGUCCAGACUCCUACGGGAGGCAGCAGUGGGGAAUAUUGCACAAUGGGCGCAAGCCUGAUGCGGCAAUGCCGCGUGUAUGAAGAAGGCCUGCGGGUUGGAAAGUCCUUACGGCGGGGAGGCGUUACCCGCAGAAGAAUCACCGGCUAACUCCGUGCCAGCAGCCGCGGUAAUUC
rnacentral:rRNA from 1 species